rnacentral:misc_RNA from 1 species
AGCAGCCGCGGUAAUUCCAGCUCCAAUAGCGUAUAUUAAAGUUGUUGCAGUUAAAAAGCUCGUAGUUGAAUUUCGGGGUUAGCAGGUCGGUCGUGCCAUUGGUAUGAACUGGUCUCGCUGAUCCCUCCCUCUUGACGAACUGUGAUGCCAUUAAUUUGGUGUCGCAGGGAAUCAGGACUGUUACUUUGAAAAAAUUAGAGUGUUUAAAGCAGGCUCACGCUUGAAUACAUUAGCAUGGAAUAAUGAAAUAGGACGUUUGAUCCUAUUUUGUUGGCUUCUAGGAUUGACGUAAUGAUUAAUAGGGAUAGUUGGGGGCAUUAGUAUUCAAUUGUCAGAGGUGAAAUUCUUGGAUUUAUUGAAGACUAACUACUGCGAAAGCAUUUGCCAAGGAUGUUUUCAUUAAUCAAGAACGAAAGUUAGGGGAUCGAAGACGAUCAGAUACCGUCGUAGUCUUAACCAUAAACUAUGCCGACUAGGGAUCGGAUGAUGUUAAUUUUUUCAAUGACUCAUUCGGCGCCUU